UAAAUAUCCCACGGGAUAGCUGAAGGAUGGACUUAUGGCGCAUUAGCUAGUUGGUAGGGUAACGGCCUACCAAGGCGACGAUGCGUAGCCGACCUGAGAGGGUGGACGGCCACACUGGGACUGAGACACGGCCCAGACUCCUACGGGAGGCAGCAGUAGGGAAUUUUCGGCAAUGGGGGGAACCCUGACCGAGCAACGCCGCGUGAGGGAGGAAGUAUUUCGGUAUGUAAACCUCUGUUAUAAAGGAAGAACGAUGCAUGUAGGGAAUGACAUGCAAGUGACGGUACUUUAUGAGGAAGCCACGGCUAACUACGUGCCAGCAGCCGCGGUAAUACGUAGGUGGCGAGCGUUAUCCGGAAUUAUUGGGCGUAAAGAGGGAGCAGGCGGCAGCUAAGGUCUGCGGUGAAAGCCCGAAGCUAAACUUCGGUAAGCCGUGGAAACCGAGCAGCUAGAGUGCAGUAGAGGAUCGUGGAAUUCCAUGUGUAGCGGUGAAAUGCGUAGAUAUAUGGAGGAACACCAGUGGCGAAGGCGACGAUCUGGGCUGCAACUGACGCUCAGUCCCGAAAGCGUGGGGAGCAAAUAGGAUUAGAUACCCUAGUAGUCCACGCCGUAAACGAUGAGUACUAAGUGUUGGGGGUCAAACCUCAGUGCU
rnacentral:rRNA from 1 species